UACAGAGACUGCAAGCGUUAUUCGGAUUCACUGGGCGUAAAGGGUGCGCAGGCGGCCAAGUGUGUGAAGUGUGAAAGCCCGGGGCUUAACCCCGGAAUUGCACCUCAAACUACUUGGCUAGAGCAUUGGAGAGGGUAGCAGAAUUCACGGUGUAGCAGUGAAAUGCGUAGAUAUCGUGAGGAAUACCAGAGGCGAAGGCGGCUACCUGGACAAUUGCUGACGCUCAGGCACGAAAGCGUGGGGAGCAAACAGG
rnacentral:rRNA from 1 species